AUUGAACGCUGGCGGCAGGCCUAACACAUGCAAGUCGAGCGAGAGGCGGACGGGGGAGUAAUGUGUGGGAAACUGCCUGCUGGAGGGGGAUAACUACAGGAAAAGGUAGCUAAUACCGCAUACCAUCAGAUGUGCCCAGAUGGGAGUAGCUAGUGGGUGGGGUAACGCCUCACAUAGGCGACGAUCCCUAGCUGGUCUGAGAGGAUGACCAGCCACACUGGAACUGGGACACGGUCCAGACUCCUACGGGAGGCAGCAGUGGGGAAUAUUGCACAUGGGGCGCAAGCCGGAUGCAGCCAUGCCGCGUGUGGGAAGAAGGCCUUCGGGUUGUAAAGCACGUUCAGCGGGGAGGCGUUACCCGCAGAAGAAGCACCGGCUAACUCCGUGCCAGCAGCCGCGGUAAUAC
rnacentral:rRNA from 1 species